GACGACGCUGGCGGCGUGCCUAAUACAUGCAAGUAGAACGAGUUGCGAACGGGUGAGUAACGCGUGGUAACCUGCCUCAUAGCGGGGGAUAACUACUGGAAACGGUAGCUAAUACCGCAUACCAUCAGAUGUGCCCAGAUGGGAUUAGCUUGUUGGUGGGGUAACGGCUCACCAAGGCGACGAUCCCUAGCUGGUCUGAGAGGAUGACCAGCCACACUGGAACUGAGACACGGUCCAGACUCCUACGGGAGGCAGCAGUGGGGAAUAUUGCACAAUGGGCGCAAGCCUGAUGCAGCCAUGCCGCGUGUAUGAAGAAGGCCUUCGGGUUGUAAAGUACUUUUGUUAGGGAAGCGGUACCUAAAGAAUAAGCACCGGCUAACUACGUGCCAGCAGCCGCGGUAAUAC
rnacentral:rRNA from 1 species